UCUCCUUGCCAUCUUCUGUCGAAUAGUAAUGUUGAAAUCAAUGAGUGCAUUCGUAUUUGUGUGUAAAUUUGUAUGUAAAUCAAGGUUGUCAAACCUAAAACUUUGCAAACAGAAGAGUGAAUUGACGCGAAACCCAGAAGAUUUUGAGCCAAGUACCUGAUACCUGACGGAGGGGAGCCAAAGAAAGUUGAGACUGAGAACGAGCUGGGAGACGACGGCUUACGGAAUUGGCCUCCGUGAAAAAAUAGUUAAAUUACUAAUUAUUUGUUGCAGUCCUAUUUAGAAUAGGAAUGUGAUUGUGUAAAUCCUAGGAAAUAUGGGAAUGUAUCUUAUAUUCCUAUUAGGAUUAGAUUACUUAUUAAAUGUUGUAAUCCUAAAGGGAAAGGUUUUACCCUUCCUACUACUAUAAAUAAAGGC
rnacentral:lncRNA from 1 species